rnacentral:rRNA from 1 species
GACGAACCGUGCGAACGUUGUUCGGAAUCACUGGGCUUAAAGGGCGCGUAGGCGGCCACGCACGUCCGUUGUGAAAUCGCCCGGCUCAACUGGGCGGGGUCAGCGGAUACGGUGUGGCUCGAGCAAGCUAGGGGGCAAUGGAAUUCCCGGUGUAGUGGUGGAAUGCGUAGAUAUCGGGAGGAACGCCAGUGGCGAAGGCGGUUGCCUGGAGCUUUGCUGACGCUGAGGCGCGAAAGCGUGGGGAGCGAUCCGG